AUUGAACGCUGGCGGCAUGCUUUACACAUGCAAGUCGAACGGUAACAGGCCGCAAGGUGCUGACGAGUGGCGAACGGGUGAGUAACGCAUCGGAACGUGCCCAGUCGUGGGGGAUAACGCAGCGAAAGCUGCGCUAAUACCGCAUACGAUCUCUGGAUGAAAGCCGGGGACCGCAAGGCCUGGCGCUGGAAGAGGAGCCCGCGUCCGAUUAGCUAGUUGGCGGGGUAACGGCCCACCAAGGCGACGAUCGGUAGCCGGCCUGAGAGGGCGGACGGCCACACUGGAACUGAGACACGGUCCAGACUCCUACGGGAGGCAGCAGUGGGGAAUUGUUCACAAUGGGCGCAAGCCUGAUGACGCAACGCCGCGUGGGGGAUGAAGGCCUUCGGGUCGUAAACCCCUGUCGAACGGGACGAAAGACCUUAGAGCUAAUCAUCUGAGGAGUGACGGUACCGUUAAAGGAAGCCACGGCUAACUCUGUGCCAGCAGCCGCUGUAAGAC
rnacentral:rRNA from 1 species